UGCCUUAAAGUGUUGCCUGUUCAUUGCUGGUCAGAUGAAUGUGGUGUCAACUAGGGCAUACAUUAAUACAUAAUAUGGCUGCUGGAAGGUGUUUACUCUGUUCCUUCCUGAAGUUCCAUGUUAUGGACAUUU